GCAGGGUGCAGAGGCCCUAAGUUGGCCAGGACGGCAUCUACUGUGCUGGGAAGAUGCCCUCCAGCCAUUCUCACCUGUAUCAGCAAGAUUGCUGCAGCCCCUCACCUGCAACAAGAAAAGAGCCUGGAAUGCUCAAAAAAGGGCAUGCAAGACAUUUCCGGCGCACUGACUGGACGUCUCCUUGGCCCACUGCUUUGAUGUACUGACAAAUUGUGACCUUUUUCUUGCACAGUGUCCCCUGUUGUAAAAAGCUGCCUGGAAUAUGAUGCGAUGCCUAGAGAUUCAGAAGCCAUUUGGAAUCCUGACGAUGAAAGCCACAAAUGACGACAACUCUGAAGAUGGCAGGAGCAGUGACGUCAGCCGUGGACAGCCCACGACUGACAGAUUACACAGGAAAAAUUAACCACUUGCCUAGUCUGGAGCCAUUCUUACUUGAAGCUCAGUGCCACCUCAGCUAAUGGUUUAAAUAUCCAAUUUUUAAAAGUAGAAAAAGAAGGAAGCAAAUAACAUAUUCAUAAUGCACAAAAUGGAGAAAC